UACAGAGGUCUCAAGCGUUGUUCGGAUUCAUUGGGCGUAAAGGGCGCGUAGGCGGCGAGGUAAGUCGGGUGUGAAAUCUCAGAGCUCAACUCUGAAACUGCACUCGAUACUGCUUUGCUAGAGGACUGGAGAGGAGAUUGGAAUUCACGGUGUAGCAGUGAAAUGCGUAGAGAUCGUGAGGAAGACCAGUGGCGAAGGCGGAUCUCUGGACAGUUCCUGACGCUGAGGCGCGAAAGCGUGGGGAGCAAACAGG
rnacentral:rRNA from 1 species